UGGGAGGAUGCGGUGGUAAGGGUGGCACCGGGCAGGUCCUGUCACUCCGCUCAGCUUCCCCAGCAGGGGCAGCGCGGGGGCAGGCACUGAUCUCUUCUCUCUGCGGACCACUGGCAGGACCCGUGGGAAUGGCUGAGCUUGUGUCAGGGGAGGUCUAGGCUGGAUAUCAGGCAAAGGUUUUUAACCCAUGGGGUAGCUGGGCAUUUGAACAGGCUCCCCCGGAAAGCAGCCACAACACUAAGCUUGACAGAGUUCAAGAUGUGUUUGGACAACACUCUCAGGCACAUGUAAUCCCUGUGGCUCGCAGCCAGCUGGUUCCCAGCCAGAGUCCACAGCGUUGCCUGGCUGCUGCAGAGGCAGCACUUAUCCCAGGCUUCCUGCAUGGCAUGGGCACGUAGGAGGCACCCACAGAGCUGCUUGGCUGUACUGAGCACAUGGACAGCGAGUGCACGCAGUGCUCUGCUGGCAGAAGCAGGGAGGAUACUCUGUAAGCCAGCUGCGGGUCAUCACGGAUCCUGGACAGCCACUGGGAAUCACAGGCACAGCUUAGGUACUUGUGUGCACCUACUGCAGUGCUGGGGAAUCUCCAGAAAGCAGGGGGAUGAUACCUCUGUCACCAUCUCUGGGGAAUGCUGGUUCCCUUCAGCUACCAGCAGCCCCACUGGAUUACAGGGAAGAGAGCACACUGACUCAUCCCAGCUCCAGCCCAGGGCACGCUUCCUCAGUGGUGCUUCUGGUGACUCUUGCAUCCGGCCCACCACGUACAGGAGCCAGCCUGGACCCGUGCCAGAGGACUGGAAAUAGCAGGCUGCAAGAAGUGGUUGAGAAAUUGAGCUCCUGUAUUGUGGCAGGAGCCAUGUCCUUGGAUUUUGGAGUCUGACAGAGGAAAAUGACCCAGUAGCAUGCUUCACGUGUGGAAUGCAUAGAGGACUUGGCAAUACUUCCUGCUACAGCAGGUCUCAAAACUGCUUGUUAUUGAGAAAGAAGACCUCUCACGGGAGGCCCGUGCCUGUGUGCAUGCAGAACGCUCUUCAGAAUUCCCUUCUGUGUACACAGUAAUUGCAUUCUGCAGAGGCUGAAACCAAAAUGUCCACAAAAGGGGAACUGUCGACAGCACAAUGGUGCAGGAUCAUGAGGUGGACAAAAGUCCUAUGGGCAGGGCCAAACCUCUCGGAGGGAGGUUGUUCCUAAGUGAGCUGCUGAAACUGCCUCCUGUCACCAGCUCAGACCUCAACUGUGAGUGCUGAAGUUCACACAAAGCCCUUGGUGGUGCUGCCUCAACCUCUCUGAUGCUGCUUCUGCAAACCUGAAUCAUCCUUCAGAGACCUCCAGUCUGGAAAGCCUUUCCUGUCAGGUGUGUUUUCCUUUUUCUCUGAGGCGCUCUUGGUGUUUGAUUGGAGUGUGGAGUUGACCUCAAGUGUCAGGAUGCAAAGGGAGGUAAAUAUCUUCUAGGGCAGAAAUGUAAACAUCUCUUUCGGUUUUCUUGUUUUUUUCUUUCUUUCUUUCUUCUUUUCCCCAGAUCUGGAAUAAAAUAAAUUCCUGGCUCCUGGAUACUAGUGAUCCUCCCACUCCUGCAAUGUCCCAGAGAUGGUAGGGCUCUCUCAGUUUUUCCAAAGUAUAAGUCAGGCAUUGCUGCCUUCAAACACAGAAGGGAAAGGAACAGGAAAGAGUCUGGAACAAACACGGCUCUGCAGAUCCUUUUUCUGUCCCUAAUGCUGCUCCUCUGCAACUGCAACCCAAGGGCUGAGUUUGUGAGGCUGGGGGCUGAGGCUGUGGCUCUCUCCCUGGGUAUUUCUGCAGUGUUACAGGCAGUCCUUACACCUGAUGGACGCGUUACCAAAGGCUGCAUUUCUGGGGCCACUGCCAGUUCAUCAAACCUCGAGGUUUGCUGAAACCACCAUGAGCAAACCUUGUUCGCAGAGAGUCGCGGUGGCGAACGCUGCGUGAAACCCUGGAAGCAGGAAUUAGAACAGCAGCCUUUCUGUGGAAUGAGGACAAGGCCACGGUUGUGAGGAAUGCAGGAUCUGCUGCUGCAGUGCCCGGGGUGCUCCGAGGGGAUGGCCAUUUGCUGGGUCAGAACAGCGAGCGGCACGGGGGUGUGGGCGAGAAGCAAGGCUCCCAUCUUGCUCCUCUCCAUCCAGUCCGCUUUUCUUGUAACAAAACCCAUUACGUCUCUCCAUUUCCUCUCUUUAUCCCCUCCGAGCUGCCCAGGUUGUGCCGCGGCGGCGGGGAGCGGGGGCAGGGCGGGGAGCAGCGCUCGGCGGGCGGCGCUGAGCGAAGGGCAGCACGGAAGGCGAUGGACGGCGCCGCUGCCCCGGCCCCGCCUCGCCGCCGCCUGCCCGCCGCCCCCCCGGCGCCCUCACGGGUUUUUCCCGGCCCCGGGAAAGCCAACUGAGCAUCGCCUGGCGAAGGCAAAUAAAGGCAGGGUGAUAAACCCUGCCUUGCUACCUGCUGCCGGCACGCACCCAGCGCUGCGGCCGGGAAGGCACGAACAGCUUCCUAACGUGCCCGAACGCUGCUGGGGCCCCGUGGACGCCUGGAAGACAAAGAAAUCCUCGUUACCAGAAGUCAGAGCUACCCACAGCCAUUUCCUCAUUGGUUCCCUUCAUCUGUGCCUCUUACGUAAUCCUCACCCAACAACUAACUCUGACCUCAGAUGAAGGGCACCCUGAGUGAAGGACAGCUCUGAUUUGAUCCUCAAAUGGGAAAAUUCAUAUUUGGGAUGCUACAGCCAGCUUGUGGUGGCUGCAGCUUGCGUUGCGUGGCAGCGAUUACUUUCAGAAUAUUUUGCUCGUGUUAAGAGUGUGUCUGUCACACUGUGAGUGAGAACCACGACCUCCCAUCUGUGCUGCGUUAGCAAAGAGAGGCUCACAAAAAAAUCACGAUUGAAAACAUCCCUCCUCUUUCCAGUCUUCUGACAGGCUGUGUCACCCCUUGUCAUUCCCUUCUAUUCCUCUUGCUUCUUCUCCUUGUUUUACCUACCCUGCUUCCCAGCCCUCCUGCAGGGCUUAUUUAAAUAUGCUGCCUCUCAGGAAGCCAUUUCCCAAUGCAAAGUUGGCCGGUGGUUGAAUUCUUGGGUAUUUCCUCUUAACUUCACUAUAUGGCAUAGUGGAAGAAGAACAAAGCGGAUUAUCUGCUGGGAUUUUUAGCGGACACAGUACAGAAAGAUGAACAGCGUGGGUUAAAUACAUAAAUGCAUUCAAGCACGUUCCCCCUGCACACUGAGAUUUUGGUACUUUUGCUGUACGUGAAAGGACAGAUAUUCUGGAUUUAUGUAAAUCUAAGAAAAUUUAAUGCAAAUACACAUCCUUCUGCUCUUUUGCUAUUCAGCAAACAGUUUGGAACCACUUAGGAGUUAGCUCAGUAAAUAUAAUUCUUAAAAUA